rnacentral:rRNA from 1 species
CCUACGGGAGGCUGCAGUGGGGAAUAUUGCACAAUGGGCGCAAGCCUGAUGCAGCCAUGCCGCGUGUGUGAAGAAGGCCUUCGGGUUGUAAAGCACUUUCAGCGGGGAGGAAGGCGUUAAGGUUAAUAACCUCGUCGAUUGACGUUACCCGCAGAAGAAGCACCGGCUAACUCCGUGCCAGCAGCCGCGGUAAUACGGAGGGUGCAAGCGUUAAUCGGAAUUACUGGGCGUAAAGCGCACGCAGGCGGUCUGUCAAGUCGGAUGUGAAAUCCCCGGGCUCAACCUGGGAACUGCAUUCGAAACUGGCAGGCUAGAGUCUUGUAGAGGGGGGUAGAAUUCCAGGUGUAGCGGGGAAAUGCGUAGAGAUCUGGAGGAAUACCGGUGGCGAAGGCGGCCCCCUGGACAAAGACUGACGCUCAGGUGCGAAAGCGUGGGGAGCAAACAGGAUUAGAUACCCUAGUAGUC